CCCUUAGAUGUCCUGGGCCGCACGCGCGCUACACUGAGUGUCUGAGAUACGAGUCUGCCUGGUCCGGCAAGGUCUAGGUAAUCGCUAAAAGACACAUCAUGCUUGGGAUAGAUUAUUGCAAAUAUUAAUCUUGAACGAGGAAUUCCUAGUAAGCGCAAGUCAACAGCUUGCGUUGAUUACGUCCCUGCCCUUUGUACACACCGCCCGUCGCUCCUACUGAUUGGGUGAUCCGGUGAGCUGUUCGGCCAUAGCAAUGUUUCUUGAGCAGGGCAAUGAAGGUUUCGCAAACCUUGCCACUUAGAGGAAGGAGAAGUCGUAACA
rnacentral:rRNA from 1 species